rnacentral:rRNA from 1 species
AUUGAACGCUGGCGGCAUGCCUUACACAUGCAAGUCGAACGGCAGCACGGGUGCUUGCACCUGGGGGCGAGUGGCGAACGGGUGAGUAAUACAUCGGAACAUGUCCUUAAGUGGGGGAUAGCCCGGCGAAAGCCGGAUUAAUACCCCAUACGAUCUCCGGAUGAAAGCGGGGGCCCUUCGGGCCUCGCGCUAAAGGGUUGGCCGAUAGCUGAUUAGCUAGUUGGUGGGGUAAAGGCCUACCAAGGCGACGAUCAGUAGCUGGUCUGAGAGGACGACCAGCCACACUGGGACUGAGACACGGCCCAGACUCCUACGGGAGGCAGCAGUGGGGAAUUUUGGACAAUGGGCGAAAGCCUGAUCCAGCAAUGCCGCGUGUGUGAAGAAGGCCUUCGGGUUGUAAAGCACUUUUGUCCGGAAAGAAAUCCUUGGCUCUAAUACAGUCGGGGGAUGACGGUACCGGAAGAAUAAGCACCGGCUAACUACGUG